CUCCAAAUUGUUAAGAUUUGCAAUUUAAACAAGUGUUUUAUAUUAUUAUUGUUUCAUCUGUUCUUAAAAAGAUAUCUUUUAUAUAUUGUUUUACAUUUAAAAAUCAUUAAAUUGUUUAAAUAAAAACAAUAAAAAAUCAUAUUAAAACAGAACAUGUAUACAGAUUUACAAUUGAAAGUGUUUAAAGAUCAAUCGAUCGAUCGAGUACUGGUGCUGAAUGUGUAACACACCGACCGCUACACACACGUAUAUAAUUAAAUUUUUUAAAACAGGGUGCUAAAGUAAAUUUACACCUAAUUAAAGUUUAUUUUUAAAGUAGUGAAACUGUUACUGAACUAGUUCCGUAACUGGUACAUAGGGAACCAGUUUCACGUGAAUGUUAUUUUAAAACCUUGAAAGGUGUUGACAGAAAUUAUAAUAUUUUCAAAACUGAGUUCGAUUAUUGAAUGGUCCCAGCAGGCUUCCAGAACCUCCCACUGAUGUCCCUUUGGUUUCGUAUGCAGAUUACUACACUGUUAUUUCAUCAAACGUCAACACGAUUACAUAAGCUUCAAAAUUACCCAAAAGACUUUUUUCUGAACUUAGGUUAGCUGCUUCAAAAUCAUCGGUAUCACUUUUCACCUCUUGGACCAAAGAUGUUUUGACGGUGCUUAAAGUCUCCGAAGAAGGGGGCAAGCAAGUAACAUAAACCAAAACGUUCGAAACAGAAAUAUGGUCAUUAAAACUCUUGCUGGUAUCUCUUGGUGUAUGGAUAAGGAAACUAUUGUAGCGACAUGGUCGCACUUUUCUCAAUUAUGCUACCCCAAAUAUGUAUCUCUUUUCUUAGUGAUACACAAUGGCGAGGUUUACAAACGAUUCAUUAUAAUGCACUUCGAAUCACAACCUGAUGCGUCAAGAUAAUGAAUGUGGAUCUCUUACAUGAGGAGUUAUGCCUAGUCAAUCCAACCAUAAGAUUCUGAUGAAGGAUCUCCCUUCCAGACACUUUUGCUGCGACAUCUAGGUAUUCAAGCUGCAAAAACGCACACUUGGGUCUUGUUGAUCCCUUUGUGAUACCUCUAAAGAUAAUAGAGAUAGAAAAGAAAGAAAAGGGAUAGUUUUAAGGUUUAGCCAUAAGAGAGGUGUAGAGUAAGUAAGAAUGAAAUACUGAGAGUAACGAAGAAUUGAGAUAGAAGUAGAGGAGAUGAUAGAAAGGUUUGUCCUUGUGGACUUAUAAGUGCCUUUGUCAAGUAUGGCUUGGUGGUCGUAAAAAUCAAUGAAUGUGCCUGAUAAAUGCAUUAUUAUCCUUUCUUAGGAUGGAUAGUUCUGACAAAUCGCCAAAUAUUCGCUUUCCUAGAUAUAUGAAUCGAAUGUCUGCUAGCGCAGGGCAUUGACAGAGAAGAUGUUCGAUAGAUUCUUCCUCUUCCUCGUCUCGUCAACUUCUACAGAAGUCGUUGUUCGGUAUACCAAGUUUUCUUGUAUGCGCUAUGUCCCGUAAUGACAGCGAAAAGAUUUCUGAUGUGAGAACGGUUUAGUUGCAGAAGAUAUUACAGUCCAAACUUGGAUCUAUCUUCCUGGUGUUGAUACAAGUUGGUUCAUUACGCCAUCUUGUCUGGGAGAGUUUAAAGAUCAUUUAUUUGAUUUUCGCAAGCUUUAGCGGUAUGCCGCAAAAGAUGUCUAUGUCAAAUCUCCGUAUUGAUUUGAGCACGAUUUUGAAUGUCUCGGCAUUCUGUUUAAGGAUGCCCGACAUUCCUGGACUAGUUUGGAUGUAGUAUAUACACCAAUUAGGGAUUUGGUAGCUGCUUGGCUAUCGGUACAAAUUUAAAUAUCUCUGUUUGAUAUUCUGUAAUACCAAAGACAAUUUGCUGCUGUUUUUAUGACUAAUAGUUCAGACUGUAGUGGACUCCAAUUAUAAAGUCUGAGGCCAGUGCUAAGUCUUCCAGAUAAUCCAAUUUGCUGCUCUUUUUAUGACUAAUAGUUCAGACUCUGGUGGACUCCAAUUAUUAAGUCUGAGGGCAGUGCUAAGUCUUCCAGAUAAGUAAGUCUUCCAAAUUAGCAAUGCGAAUAGAUAUUUGGUGGAUGUUGUUCUCAGCGCUUCUGUUAUGAGGAUUGCUAUCCUAUUUAGAACCUUGUCAAGAAGUUGGAGUUUUUGUCAAGUGCAUUCAAUCAGACAACCGCUCCGUAAAAGAGAAUAGGUUCAAUAACCACUUCAUGGAUCUAGUUUACCAAUUUGGGGUUUAGUCCCAAUCUCUUGCCAAUAGCCUUACUGCGACAUCUAAAACGUCAUAACACAGGUCGAUAUAUUGUCAAUUGUUAGCUCCAGGGAAAUGUUGCAAUAAAUGGCGGUUACUGAAAUCAUUAAUGGCUAUAGAUGCAACAAGGUCCCAAACGAACUCUUUUUUAAAGGCUAUUAGGUAUUACUAGCAUAAUCUUAAUCGCAUUUUUAGAUGCGAUUAAAAUGUCGUUUGUAAAGUAUGACAUCAAUUAUUUUUUGCUGGGGUAUAAUGUUUUAAUUUAAAAAUCUGUUAUUAUGUAUUUCGAUUCGCAAGAAAACUAUUAUGAAUGAAUUUCCAUAUAUAAAUAAUUGAUUAAAGUUUUUAUUAAUCGGAUUUACAAUCUGCACAAAAGUUAUACAUAGAUUAUUUAUCAGUAAAUACCAUUUUUAUAGACGUAUUGUUUCCUCUUAGACUUCACUCUUAAGAAAUUCUUAUCUAAUACACACACAACACAAAUGUAAAUAUAAAUUAAUAAAAACUACGUUAGAUAUUUAUGUCAUAAAACUUUUAAUAGUUUUAACUAGAAUUUCGAAACAGUAUUCCUAAAUGUUCUCUGAAAUACAUUGACAGAUGAUGAAAAUAAUACAAGCUGCAAACGGCGUCAAGAACUUGGAUUUAAAAACUAUAAACAAAUGUACAAAAUAUUUGUUUACAGUUUAUAUUUGACAGUUAAGCUCUUUUUGCCUUCAACUUAUAACCCAUUUUCAGACGUAGACAGUUUACUACUUACCUUUAAUGAUGUUUGUUUUUAUUGAUUGUUGUUUUUAUUGCUCCAUUCAGCACAAUAAUGUCAAGUACUCCAAAAAUGCCGCGUAAGCAACCAAAUUUUUGUUUGGGGCAACACACAUUCAAUUAAGUCCACUGUAAGAGAACAAAAAUACGCAAAGAAAUGCAAGCAAAAAAAUUAAAACAACAUGAGAGAAGAAAAGAAGGCAGCAAUUUUAAUGAUAAUAAUUGGACAAAAAUUCAGGAGCAAAAAACUACCUGAACUUAUUCGCAGACGUAUUUUAAGUUUAUUAUAUUCAUAAACAUUGGAGACUUUCCUUUGGUUUUUAGAAUUUAACAGAUUUUUUUGCCAAAAUUUAGCAAAUUUUUUACAAAAUCUAUGAAUAACUUAUAAAGUUUAAACUUUUUUAAAUUUCUUGUGUUGAAAAUAACAUCUUCCAUUUAAUGACCCUGUAAACUAAUUAAUUUGUAUAAAUUUUUAACAAGUUUCCUGAGAUACUUCAUCAUCAAAGUAAAAGAUAUAAUUGAUAAAGAUAUAAUUGAUUUUUAAUGUAAUUGCAAAGCGUAAGUAAAAAAAAGAAGAGAAAAUAAAAUAUUUUUAUUUCUUAUUGAUAACUAUUUUCCUCUUACUGGAAAUUAUUGUUAUCAUACACCAUUCAUAUGUUCAAUGUCAAGACGAACUACUUACUACUCCUAUUAACCAAAAAGAAGACCAACGACAACAACAUAAUUAAAACAAAAGACGACUUCAUUUUGAGUAUAAAUUGCAUCAGCAAAAAAAAAACUUUUAAAAAGAAACACAACUUUAUUUUAUAUAUUUUUUUAAAUGUAUACAAUAAUAAAUAUACAAUGAUAAUGAAAUAAAAUGAUGUUGGGUAUUUUUUCUUUAGAAAA